CCCGCGAGAUUUAAAAUUAAAAUGGACAACUUGGAGACUGCAGCUCGGCCGGAGUUUGCUUCUGUUGGGUCUGCACCUAGCGGGUCUACUUUGAGCCAGAGAAUGGCUGUGGUUAAUCAAAAGUCUAUCUUGGAUAUGAUUAAAAAGUUCAGAAGGAAUUGGCACAUUCUUUGUGACUCUGAGAGAACUACUGUAUGUGGUGCAGACUCCAUGCUCUUGGCAUUGCAGCUUUCCAUGGCAGAGAACAACAAACAGCACAAUGGAGAAUUUACAGUUCCUCUCAGUGAUGUCUUAUUGACCUGGAAAUUCUUCCUACAUGAGAAGUUGAACUUACCAGUUGAAAAUAUGGAAGUGAUUGACCAUUAUGAGGACAUUAGGAGGACUUACGAUGAUUUCUUAAAGAAUAGUAAUAUGUUAGAUCUGAUUGAUGUUUAUAAAAAAUGUAGUGUUUUGAUUUCUAAGUGUGAAAAUAAUGCCAACAUAUCCCCUAGUCAACUACGGGAUUUUCUGCUUGGGAGACAGUAUGCAGUAGCUGAUGAAACUGAUCUUUAUGUACCGACAUCACCAAUGAGUAAACACAACCAGGAUAAUGAAAAGGUGCAGUUACUAGCAAGGAAAGUUAUCUACUCAUAUUUAAGCCUGCUAGUGAAUUCAAAGAAUGACCUGGCUCUGGCUCAUAUUCUUAAUAUUCCUGAUAGAGGACUUGGACGAGAAGCCUUCACUGAUUUGAAACAUGCUGCUCAAGAGAAAAAGAUGUCUAUCUUUUUGGUGGCUACAUCAUUUAUUAGGACACUAGAGCUUGGAGGGAAAGGAUAUGCACCAUCACCAUCUGAUCCUUUAAGGGCACAUGUAAAAGGAUUGUCUAAUUUUAUUAACUUCAUUGACAAAUUAGAUGAGAUUCUUGGAGAAAUACCAAAUCCAAGCAUUGCAGGGGGUCGGAUACUCUCAGUGAUAAAGAUGCAGCUGAUUAAAGGCCAGAACAGCAGGGAUCCUUUUUGUAAAGCAGUAGAGGAAGUAGCUCAGGAUUUGGAUUUGAGGAUUAAAAAUAUUGUCAAUUCUCAACAAGGAGAUGUAAUUCUUGGUACCACUGAUAUCAGUCCUGCAAGGCCAAAAUCUUAUGCUAUAAACCAUGGUACUGCAUACUGUGGCAGAGAUACUGUGAAAAUUUUACUAGUUCUUUUGGAUGAGGAAGCAGCCAGUUUGCCUACCAAAAACAAAGCAGAGCUUUUAUAUGAUGAUGAAAACACAAUUCAUCAUAAUGGGAUUUCUAUUCUUACACUUUUUAGAUCUCCCACACAAGUGAAUAAUUCAUCAAUGAAACCCCUAAGAGAACGCAUCCAUAAGUCAAUGCACGAGAAAAAAACUAAGAUGAAGCAAACCUUAAUUAGAUCUCAGUUUGCUUGUACUUAUAAAGAGGACUGGAUAAUAAGCAAGGAUAAAUGGAAUGAUGUUAAUUCAGCAUCAGAGCCUUUGUAUGUACUUCACAUGGAAAAUGACCUUUCUGAAGGUGUAAAUUCAUCUGUUAGAAGACCAACAGUUGGAACGAGUUCUGGAAAUGUUCAUCUGGACAGAAGUAAAAGUGAAAAAGUUGCAAGGAAAUCAAGUAGUCAGACAGGAAAUAAAAGCUCAAAGAGGAAACAGACAAUUCUACUGGACAGCACUGCCCUACACAGUGGGGACUGUGAAGAUUGAUCUAGAUAAUAAGGUUUUGACUAGGAGCAAUCCUACAAAUAACUUUCAAGAUAUGUAACCUGAAUGAGAACAUCGAAAAGUCUAAACCACCCAUAAGUUUUGAAGCUGUCCAUUACUUUUCAACCUAAUAUAUUCUGGAGCUUGGUACUGAGAGUAAAGAAAAAAAAAUAGAGAGAGAGACAGAGCAUGAGCAGGCGAGGAGCAGAGAGAGAGACACAAAAUCUGAAGCAGGCUCCAGGCUCUGAGCUGUCAGCACAGAGCCCGACACGGGGCUCGAAGUCACAGACUGCGAGAUCAUGACCUGAGCCUAAGUCGGAUGCUCAACCGACUGAGCCACCUGGCACCCCUAUGGAUUUAUUUUUCAGUGCUAAAUCAACUUUGCAUUUCUGGAAUAUACCCUACUUGGUCAUGAGAAUUGCUGCUGUUAAGAAGAGAGUUGGUCCUGAGAUCCUUUCCCCAGGUCCAAAUUGGAAGUUUACUCUGCAGAAAAACAUAGGCCUUGCAUGGAAACUCUUAAGAAAUGUCAAAGAGCUGGGUCCUGUUGAAAAGAUUGGGAUAAUUGUCAGGAGCCACUUGCUUACAGCCUGCAUUUCUUUUAGUACUUCUUAUAAGUGAGACAUGUUUUCUGAGAUGGAAGAUGGAAGAUUCCAUGUAAUAAAGGUGAAUAUAAAAUUUUAUUCAUUUAUCUUUAAAAAGUCUAUGGA